GGAGAGGUGGCAGAGUGGUCGAACGCGCUCGACUUGAAAUCGAGUUUUCCGAAAGGGAACGUGGGUUCGAAUCCCACCCUCUCCG
rnacentral:tRNA from 1 species